rnacentral:RNase_P_RNA from 1 species
GCAGUCAGUCAGGCGAUCGCUCGGCUUCGGCCGGGAGGAAAGUCCGGGCUCCGUAGGGCAAGAUGCCGGGUAACGCCCGGUGAGGGUGACCUCGAGGAAAGUGCCACAGAAAACGCGAAACCGCCGUCACGACCGCGAGGUCCUGGCGGUAAGGGUGAAACGGUGGGGUAAGAGCCCACCGCGCGAUCGGUAACGAUCGCGGCACGGCAAACCCCAUCUGGAGCAAGGCCACGUAGAGGAGCGUUCGAGAGCUGCCCGCUCGAGCUCCUGGGUAGGCUGCUCGAGGCGCGCGGUAACGCGCGUCCCAGAGGAAUGACCGCCGCGCGCUUCGGGGCGACCGGAAGCGCGAACAGAACCCGGCUUAUCGACGACUGCGACC